AUUGAACGCUGGCGGCAGGCCUAACACAUGCAAGUCGAGCGAGCGGCGGACGGGUGAGUAAUGUAUGGGGACUGCCCGCUAGAGGGGGAUAACUACUGGAAAAGGUAGCUAAUAACGCAUACUAUCGGAUAACCCAUAUGGUAUUAGAUAGUGGGUGAGGUAAUGGGUCACCUAGGCGACGAUCCCUAGCUGGUCUGAGAGGAUGAUCAGCCACAGUGGGACUGAUACACGGCCCAGACUCCGACGGAGGCAGCAGUGGGGAAUAUUGCACAAUGGGUGCAAGCCUGAUGCAGCCAUGCCGCGUGUAUGAAGAAGGCCCUAGGGUGGUAAAGUACUUUCAGUCGGGAGGCGUUACCGACAGAAGAAGCACCGGCUAACUCCGUGCCAGCCGCCGCGGUAAUAC
rnacentral:rRNA from 1 species